GCUGUGAAUUCUGAGUGAGCAAUGAUUUGUUUUAUCAUAUACCCAGAAUAUUUCCUUUAGUAAGAUUGACCUGACAGUUCUCACUGCUCCUAGUAAUGUCACAUUACUAUAGGUUAUCUACAUGGCUUCUUCGCCCUUUUUUCCUAGACUUAUCUCGGCAAGUCACUUCUUCCAGAUGACUCAACAGAGGAUGCUAAAUCAAGCAGAAUUUGGGCAGCCAUUCUUUUGGAAAGGAUGCUGAGGAACAGGAGUUUAUUCUGAAGAAAUGAUCAGAAAUGACAUGAAGAGAUAUGAAAAUGAUAUUCAUUACAGCUUUAUACUCUGAUGAAAAUGAGAAACAAUUCUACAAAAAUGAGAAUGGAUUAUGGAUUAUCAUAUGAUGGAAUCAUGGGCAAUCAUUAAAAUGUCUUUGGAGAAUAA